rnacentral:rRNA from 1 species
GAGUGAACUUGACGCUGACGAGUGGCGGACGGGUGAGUAAUACUUAGGAAUCUACCCAGUAGUGGGGGACAACUUCCGGAAACGGGAGCUAAUACCGCAUACACCCUAAGGGGAAAAGUGGAGGAUCUUCGGACUUCACGCUAUUGGAUGAGCCUAAGUCGGAUUAGCUUGUUGGUGAGGUAAAGGCUCACCAAGGCAACGAUCCGUAGCUGGUCUGAGAGGACGAUCAGCCACACUGGGACUGAGACACGGCCCAGACUCCUACGGGAGGCAGCAGUGGGGAAUAUUGGACAAUGGGCGCAAGCCUGAUCCAGCAAUACCGCGUGUGUGAAGAAGGCCUGCGGGUUGUAAAGCACUUUCAGUAGAGAAGAAAAGCUUAGAGUUAAUACCUCUGAGUCUUGACGUAACCUACAGAAGAAGCACCGGCUAGCUCCGUGCCAGCAGCCGCGGUAAUACGGGGGGUGCAAGCGUUAAUCGGAAUUACUGGGCGUAAAGCGCGCGUAGGCGGUUUGAUCAGUCGGAUGUGAAAGCCCUGGGCUCAACCUGGGAAUGGCAUCCGAUACUGUCAAGCUAGAAUGUGGGAGAGGCAAGUGGAAUUUCCGGUGUAGCGGUGAAAUGCGUAGAGAUCGGAAGGAACACCAGUGGCGAAGGCGGCUUGCUGGCCCAACAUUGACGCUGAGGUGCGAAAGCGUGGGGAGCGAACAGGAUUAGAUACCCUGGUAGUCCACGCCGUAAACGAUGAGAACUAGAUGUCGGAAGGGUUUAGCCUUUCGGUGUCGCAGCUAACGCGUUAAGUUCUCCGCCUGGGGAGUACGGUCGCAAGACUAAAACUCAAAGGAAUUGACGGGGACCCGCACAAGCGGUGG